rnacentral:rRNA from 1 species
AGUGAACGCUGGCGGUAGGCCUAACACAUGCAAGUCGAACGGCAGCACAGUAAGAGCUUGCUCUUACGGGUGGCGAGUGGCGGACGGGUGAGGAAUACAUCGGAAUCUACUUUUUCGUGGGGGAUAACGUAGGGAAACUUACGCUAAUACCGCAUACGACCUACGGGUGAAAGCAGGGGAUCUUCGGACCUUGCGCGAUUGAAUGAGCCGAUGUCGGAUUAGCUAGUUGGCGGGGUAAAGGCCCACCAAGGCGACGAUCCGUAGCUGGUCUGAGAGGAUGAUCAGCCACACUGGAACUGAGACACGGUCCAGACUCCUACGGGAGGCAGCAGUGGGGAAUAUUGGACAAUGGGCGCAAGCCUGAUCCAGCCAUACCGCGUGGGUGAAGAAGGCCUUCGGGUUGUAAAGCCCUUUUGUUGGGAAAGAAAAGCAGCAGGUUAAUACCCCGCUGUUCUGACGGUACCAAAAAAAUAAGCACCGGCUAACUUCGUG